CUGCCGAGGGCGGAGGAAGAUGGCGGCGGGGGCCAGCUGAGGUGUUGGCACUGGCGAGGGGCUCGGGCGCGGGGGUUGGGGGGACGCGGAGCGAUGGCCCGCGCCGGCCGCCGGGGAGGAUAAGACGCCGUCGCGCCGCGGGUGUGGGCCGGAGGGAGGAGACGGUGCCCGAGCGCCCCAGGAGUAUGACGUGGCCGUACGAGCUGGUGUGGCGGGUGCUGCACGCGCUGCCCUGCCUGCACCGCACGCUCGCCUCCUGGCACCGCACGCUCGCCUCCUGGCUCCGCGUUCGCUUCGGCACCUGGAACUGGAUCUGGAGGCGCUGCUGCCGCGCCGCCUCCGCCGCGGUCCUAGCGCCGCUCGGCUUCACGCUCCGCAAGCUCCUGGCCGUCGGCAGGAACCGGCGUCAUCACCGGCACCCGCACGGGGGACCCGGACCGGCCGCCGCCCACCCCCGGCUGCGCUGGCGCGCGGACGGCCGGUCCCUGCAGAAGCUGCCGGUGCACAUGGGCCUGGUGAUCACCGAGGAGGAGCAGGAGCCCAGCUUCUCGGACAUCGCGAGCCUCGUGGUGUGGUGCAUGGCCGUGGGGAUCUCCUACAUUAGCGUCUACGACCACCAAGGUAUUUUCAAGAGAAAUAAUUCCAGAUUGAUGGAUGAAAUUUUAAAACAACAACAGGAACUUUUGGGCCUAGAUUGUUCCAAAUGUUCACCAGAGUUUGCAAAUAGUAACGACAAAGACGAUCAAGUUUUAAAUUGCCCUUCGGCAGUGAAGGUGCUGUCCCCAGAAGAUGGAAAAGCGGAUAUCGUGAGAGCUGCCCAGGACUUCUGCCAGUUAGUAGCCCAGCAGCAAAGGAAACCCACAGAUCUGGAUGUAGAUCUACUAGAUGGCUUACUUAAUGAAACAUCCAUAUCUGCCCCUCCUCCAGCCAGGUCUCAUGGAAGUGAAUUCAUAAUACAGGUUCACAUGGUUUCCCUGAUCCUGAUUUAGUGUUGAAGUUUGGUCCUGUGGACAGCACAUUAGGCUUUCUUCCCUGGCAAAUCAGAUUGACUGAGAUUAUCUCUUUGCCUUCUCAUCUAAACAUCAGUUACGAGGACUUUUUCUCCGCUCUUCGGCAGUAUGCAGCUUGUGAACAGCGUCUGGGAAAGUAAUGGUCCCUGACUCCGUAUUAUGAUUUCAGGCUUUUGGAGAAAAGGACCCAAGUGACUCUGAUGUUUACAAAAUACCUAUAAAACCCUGUACACACCUAGUUCAUAUUCCUCAUAAUUUAUCAACAAACACAAAAAAGUGUCUUACUUGAGAGCGAAUGAGUGUGUGCGUGUGUGUGUGCAUGUGUGGAUGAAAAUAAAUUUAUAAAUGGGGGCACAUUGGAGUAUAUAGACCUACAGUUCAAGCAAGUAGCAGCAGUGUGUGUCUUAGCAGUGGAGAGAUUUCGGGCGUAAAGGCUUCAGCUCCUGCUACUUCCCUGUUUUUGUGGGGAGUAUAGGGAGUGAGUACAGCUGUUCUAGUUGUUUUUUGGGGGGAGAUAAUUUUUGUUUAGUCUUUCUUAAUGACCAAACUUUAAUUUCUAAGAAUAAUAUAUUGAGUUACUGAGGGGAAGUAUUCUCAUUGUGAGCGGCAUUCAGAGGCUCUGGAUGUUCACUCGUUGAACUUUGCUCACUUGCAGAGUGAAGGGAACAUCCUCAGAUUUCCGUCCAUUUCAUUUCUUCAUUACAGUAAACAGUAUGACUUGAGAGGACUGGUUUGGUGUCUCUUCUGGGUUAUAAAGAUCAUAUUGAAGUAUAGAAUAUAAAACUUUUACAUUCUGAAUUAGGCCGUUAAAAACCAAAAAGGUAAAUAAGCAGUCAUCUUAAAGAUGCAAAACUUCCGAAAGAACAGUUUGGAUUUUCUUAUUUGUGUGAUGAGUAGUAUGGUAUAUAGUACCCAAAGCAUUUUAAAAAAUGUUUCCAUUAUCUUUUUAUUUAAAAUAGACAUUUGUGAGAAGUUACCAAGGCAGCUUUACCUCAGAAGUAACCUGCUCCUCUCAAGUGGCACUGGGAUUUUCUCUUCCCAGUUAGUCUCGUGACAACUGCAUGAGGGUUAAGUGGGAUGGGGGCUUGUCUGAGCAUAACUGAACUUGAUCUUUUGUGUUCUCUUGUAUUACAGAGAACAGCACUGGUUCUGACAGAAUUGAAUUCUUGACAGGUUAAUGGUUUUUUUUUUCUACACUACUAAUCUUUGGAUAGAAACCAUUCUUUAUAUUUGAUGGAUAGUUUUCAGAAAACUUUUAUCAACAAACAUACAAGAGUCAUGUGCAUUUAGAAUAGAGUGGUUUAAAUACUAGGCCUCAGAAAUCUGAAAAAAAUAGCAAAGGAAAUGGAUUUGGAAAAUAUGGUCUGGAACUGCUUGUCAGACUCUGAAGAAUACAUGUUUCAGCUUUGGAUUACAAACCCCAUUUAUGAUUUUUAAACUAUACUUGAAAUAAAAUGAUUAAAAUGAAUUUUGGUCCAGUGACAUUACUUUGCACUUCAGUUUUUUUUUUUUGUACAAAAUUUUAAAGUCUUAAUUUAUUGCCAAAAUUUUGUGUGAAGCUACAAUGUAUCUAAAGGUUAUUAGCGAAUUCUCUGUUUCUGUUCCCCUGUGCUGUGUGUGAUUUGUAUUCCUCUUGUUUUAUUCCAACAUGGCAGGGUUAAUUUAAGGCAGUUUAAGGCCUUUUAUAAACAUGAUAGGCCAUUAUAGACUAUGCACAGCUUUAAUAAAUUAAAUUUACUGGGUCCAAUUGAAAUAAGAGGAUUCAAGGUUUGUUAAAAUGAAGUUUGCCAAGUUACCCUUUGGAACAGAGCCAAAAUCCUCAAGAGUUGAGUUUUUAUACUUUCUUCCUUCUGAAGUGUAACAGCAAAGCAAAUCCAUAGCACAUGACCCAAGACUGUCGUGGCUUUAGGAAAAAUUUCAUAAGCAAGCUGAGGGUUUUGAAUUUAAAUCUAAGCAUUCAGGAAUCGUCUCAGAUCAGAUCAACUGCCAAUGCAGUCUCCACAACCUGAAAAGCACUGGGCAUUCUUCAGUUCCUACCACAAUCAUCCCGAGGUGGCUGUCAUCAAAACUCUCUUUGUGCUCCCAAGGAACUUCGUGUCCAUGUGUACUAAAGGUUUUCUCUUUAAAUUGUUUCUCCUUGACACACUCCACAAUGGAAAAGACACCAAAUCAAAGCUACUCAACAGAUGGUGUGUGGCAUAUAAAGAGGUUGGAGGGAUUAACUUCAUGUUGGAGUCUGAUUGUAGAUUGAGCCUUGAAACUGAAUAGUUAAUUGUUGGAAGUUGAAAAGCUGAUUAUAAUGUGAAUAGCAAAUUCUGGUAUGUUGUGACUAAGGCUUAAGAAUGCCUGUUUCUGACAAAAUAUUCCAAUAUUAGUGAACAGUGCCAAAUACACUGUGCAUAUCGGUAAUUUCCCAUUUGAAUGUAUGAAUGUGUGUUAAUUAGCUGCUCCCAUCUGUAUGAAGGUUGGUCCCAUGCUUAGAGUCAGUGAAGUCCUUGUGAUGUUUGUUAUGCCUGUAGAUUUUGGCGACAUGUAAAUAAUGUAUACAGCAAGUUUUUAUGAUUAAGGAAUCAAAUUUAUUGAAUUUUAUUAUUGAAAGUUGAAAUAAAGAUGUAUGAACCAAAAAAAUCAAUAAAAGAAUAUACUCUUUUCAUGGA